GACGAACGCUGGCGGCGUGCUUAACACAUGCAAGUCGAACGGGUCUGCCCUGUUUUUUGCGGGGUGGGUCAGUGGCGAACGGGUGAGUAACACGUGAGUAACCUGCCCCUCACUUCUGGAUAACCGCUUGAAGGGGGGCUAAUAACGGGUGGUCUUGCCUGUCCCCAUGGGGGGGGUGGGAAAGGUUCACUUUUGGGGGUGUUUUGGCGGGGGUUGGGUGGGGGGCUUGUCAGCUUGUGGGUGGGGUGUUGGCCUGCGAGGGCUUUGGCGGGUGGCCGGCCUGGGAGGGUGGGCGGCCACACUGGGACUGAGAUACGGCCCGGACUCCUGCGGGAGGCAGCAGUGGGGGGUAUUGAACAGUGGGCGGAAGUCUGAUGCGGGGACGUCGCGUGAGGGAUGGAGGCCUUCGGGUUGUGAACCUCUUUCGCCGGUGAAGAAGGUCCUGCUCUUUGUGGUGGGGUUGACGGUAGCCGGGUUAUGAAGCGCCGGCUAACUACGUG
rnacentral:rRNA from 1 species